rnacentral:rRNA from 1 species
GGCGGCGUGCCUAACACAUGCAAGUCGAACGCGAAAGUCCCGCAAGGGAUUAGUAGAGUGGCAAACGGGUGAGUAACACGUGGGUGACCUGCCUUCGAGCGGGGGAUAACGUCCCGAAAGGGACGCUAAUACCGCAUAACAUCCUGUCUUUUAAGAGGCGGAGAUCAAAGCCGGGGAUUCGCAAGAACCUGGCACUUGAAGAGGGGCCCGCGCCUGAUUAGCUAGUUGGUGGGGUAAUGGCCUACCAAGGCAACGAUCAGUAUCCGGCCUGAGAGGGCGGACGGACACACUGGGACUGAGACACGGCCCAGACUCCUACGGGAGGCAGCAGUGGGGAAUUGUUCGCAAUGGGCGCAAGCCUGACGACGCAACGCCGCGUGGAGGAUGAAGACCUUCGGGUCGUAAACUCCUUUCGAUCGAGACGAAUGUUUUUCGGGUGAACAAUCCGGAAAAGUGACGGUACCGAGAGAAGACGCCCCGGCUAACUCUGUGCCAGCAGCCGCGGUAAUACAGGGGG